GGAGCAUGUGGUUUAAUUCGAUGAUACGCGAGGAACCUUACCAAGACUUAAAUGGGAAUUGACAGGUUUAGAAAUAGACUCUCCUUCGGGCAAUUUUCAAGGUGCUGCAUGGUUGUCGUCAGCUCGUGCCGUGAGGUGUUAGGUUAAGUCCUGCAACGAGCGCAACCCCUGUCACUAGUUGCUAACAUUUAGUUGAGGACUCUAGUGAGACUGCCUACGCAAGUAGAGAGGAAGGUGGGGAUGACGUCAAAUCAUCACGGCCCUUACGUCUUGGGCCACACACGUAAUACAAUGGCCGGUACAGAGGGCAGCUACACAGCGAUGUGAUGCAAAUCUCGAAAGCCGGUCUCAGUUCGGAUUGGAGUCUGCAACUCGACUCUANGAANNNNNAUCGC
rnacentral:rRNA from 1 species